rnacentral:rRNA from 1 species
UACGUAGGGUCCGAGCGUUGUCCGGAAUUACUGGGCGUAAAGAGCUCGUAGGUGGUUUGUCGCGUUGUUCGUGAAAACUCACAGCUUAACUGUGGGCGUGCGGGCGAUACGGGCAGACUUGAGUACUGCAGGGGAGACUGGAAUUCCUGGUGUAGCGGUGGAAUGCGCAGAUAUCAGGAGGAACACCGGUGGCGAAGGCGGGUCUCUGGGCAGUAACUGACGCUGAGGCGCGAAAGCGUGGGGAGCAAACAGG